AUACGGAGGGGGUUAGCGUUGUUCGGAAUUACUGGGCGUAAAGCGCACGUAGGCGGAUUGGAAAGUUGGGGGUGAAAUCCCAGGGCUCAACCCUGGAACUGUCUCCAAAACUAACAGUCUAGAGUUCGAGAGAGGUGAGUGGAAUUCCAAGUGUAGAGGUGAAAUUCGUAGAUAUUUGGAGGAACACCAGUGGCGAAGGCGGCUCACUGGCUCGAUACUGACGCUGAGGUGCGAAAGCGUGGGGAGCAAACAGGAUUAGAAACCCCAGUAGUCC
rnacentral:rRNA from 1 species